UGGCAAUGUAAAGCCUGUGCAGAUUGGUUUCACCCAGACUAUAUGGACGACAAUGAAGACGGCAACCCUACCAAUUUCAUCUGCGAUACCUGUCUGGUGCCCUGUAGAGGAGGAGAUGACAAAAUAGCAUCAUAUGAGCUACACGAAGGGCUCCCACAGUUGGUGUGAUAGACCAGUAUGUGGAGGGCUCGUUGACACACAGAGGCUCAAAGUGG